CUGGGCUUAUACAGGUUAGUACUGUAGUACUACUGGGGUUGUACAGGUUAGUACUGCUGGGGUUGUACAGGUUAGUACUGCUGGGGUUAUACAGGUUAGUACUGUAGUACUGCUGGGGUUAUACAGGUUAGUACUGUAGUACUACUGGGGUUAUACAGGUUAGUAUUGUAGUACUGCUGGGGUUAUACAGGUUAGUACUGUAGUACUACUGGGGUUAUACAGGUUAGUAUUGUAGUACUGCUGGGGUUAUACAGGUUAGUACUGUAGUACUGCUGGGGUUAUACAGGGUAGUACUGCUGGGGUUAUACAGGUUAGUACUGUAGUACUACUGGGGUUAUACAGGUUAGUAUUGUAGUACUACUGGGGUUAUACAGGUUAGUACUGUAGUACUGCUGGGGUUAUACAGGUUAGUACUGUAGUACUGCUGGGGUUGUACAGGUUAGUACUGUAGUACUGCUGGGGUUGUACAGGUUAGUACUGUAGUACUACUGGGGUUAUACAGGUUAGUAUUGUAGUACUGCUGGGGUUAUACAGGUUAGUACUGUAGUACUGCUGGGGUUAUACAGGUUAGUACUGUAGUACUACUGGGGUUAUACAGGUUAG